AGUGUUCAAAGCAGGCAGAUCCAAUUUUCUGCCACCGAAUACAUUAGCAUGGGAUAAUGGAAUAGGACCCUGUCCUCCUAUUUUCAUUUGGUUUUGGCAGCGCGAGGACUAGGGUAAUGAUUAAUAGGGAUAGUUGGGGGCAUUAAUAUUUAAUUGUCAGAGGUGAAAUUCUUGGAUUUAUGAAAGAUUAACUUCUGCGAAAGCAUCUGCCAAGGAUGUUUUCAUUAAUCAAGAACGAAAGUUAGGGGAUCGAAGACGAUCAGAUACCGUCGUAGUCUUAACCAUAAACGAUGCCGACCAGCGAUUAGGAGACGUUGAAUACAAAACACCACCAUCGGUGCGGUCGUCCUUGGCGUCGGUCUUUCGGGGCCGGCGCGGGGACGGCUUAGCCCGGUGGCACCGGUGAAUGACUCCCCUAGCAGCUUGUG
rnacentral:rRNA from 1 species